UCUUUUUAGGAUAAUUAUUAAUAAUUAUACAAAUAAAUGUCCCCCUAAUAAAAAUAU
rnacentral:tRNA from 1 species